AACGAACGCUGGCGGCAUGCCUAACACAUGCAAGUCGAACGAGACCUUCGGGUCUAGUGGCGCACGGGUGCGUAACGCGUGGGAACCUGCCCUUAGGUUCGGAAUAACUCCCCGAAAGGGGUGCUAAUACCGGAUAAUGUCUUCGGACCAAAGAUUUAUCGCCUUUGGAUGGGCCCGCGUUGGAUUAGCUAGUUGGUAGGGUAAAAGCCUACCAAGGCGAUGAUCCAUAGCUGGUCUGAGAGGAUGAUCAGCCACACUGGGACUGAGACACGGCCCAGACUCCUACGGGAAGCAGCAGUGGGGAAUAUUGGACAAUGGGCGAAAGCCUGAUCCAGCAAUGCCGCGUGAGUGAUGAAGGCCUUAGGGUUGUAAAGCUCUUUUACCCGGGAUGAUAAUGACAGUACCGGGAGAAUAAGCUCCGGCUAACUCCGUG
rnacentral:rRNA from 1 species